CCUACGGGAGGCUGCAGUGGGGAAUAUUGGACAAUGGGGGCAACCCUGAUCCAGCCAUGCCGCGUGUGUGAAGAAGGCCCUCGGGUUGUAAAGCACUUUCAGUGAGGAAGAACGCCUGGUGGUUAAUACCCAUCAGGAAAGACAUCACUCACAGAAGAAGCACCGGCUAACUCCGUGCCAGCAGCCGCGGUAAUACGGAGGGUGCGAGCGUUAUUCGGAAUUACUGGGCGUAAAGCGCGCGUAGGUGGCUUGAUAAGCCGGUUGUGAAAGCCCCGGGCUCAACCUGGGAACGGCAUCCGGAACUGUCAAGCUAGAGUGCAGGAGAGGAAGGUAGAAUUCCCGGUGUAGCGGUGAAAUGCGUAGAGAUCGGGAGGAAUACCAGUGGCGAAGGCGGCCUUCUGGACUGACACUGACACUGAGGUGCGAAAGCGUGGGUAGCAAACAGGAUUAGAUACCCUGGUAGUC
rnacentral:rRNA from 1 species